rnacentral:lncRNA from 1 species
GGGGAAUCAGGAAUGCCAGGUAAGGAGGUUGCACCUGUUAAAAGGGUGGCCAGGUAGACCUCACUGAGGUGCUUGAUGGAUGUGAGGGAGGCAGGUGAUGUGAUUUUCUACAGAAGCGCCCAGCCGCCCACUGUUUCAUGCCUAUGGAGAAAUAGCUGGGUUUCUCCAGGGACAAAGUUUUGUCAGGGAGUUGCAAAGGAAGGACAGGGGUCCAAGGGAUUUUAGUCAUUUACAAGAGACUGCCAUCUCCAUGGCACAGAGGAAGGUGAAUGAUCUGGCUGACCCGCGCCCAGUACAUAUCACCCUCAGAAGGAGCUUUCUUACAGCUGGGGAGGCCCCCGGAAGUUGGGAAGGGAUCUGUGGAUGAGAUGAGAUGACUUCCACUCUCUCUGUCUCCCCAUAGCCACAGGGUCGCUCCACAAGGCUGUGGUAAGUGGGGACAGCAGUGCUCAUCUGGUGGAAGAGAUUCAGCUGUUCCCUGACCCUGAACCUGUUCGCAACCUGCAGCUGGCCCCCACCCAGGAACUCCUGGAAGCAGGACAUGGAGCGGGGGAACCCAGAGUGGGCAUGUGCCAGUGGCCCCAUGAGCAGGAGCCUUCGGCCUCAGAGCCGCCCGCAAAUCAUUAAAGAAGUCCUGGCUGUCCCUAACUCCAUCCUGGAGCUCCCCUGCCCCCACCUGUCAGCCUUGGCCUCUUACUAUUGGAGUCAUGGCCCAGCAGCAGUCCCAGAAGCCUCUUCCACUGUCUACAAUGGCUCCCUCUUGCUGAUAGUGCAGGAUGGAGUUGGGGGUCUCUACCAGUGCUGGGCAACUGAGAAUGGCUUUUCAUACCCUGUGAUCUCCUACUGGGUGGACAGCCAGGACCAGACCCUGG